GGGGAAUUAAAAGUGAGACUAAGAAUUUAGCCUGUCCAGAAAAGGCAUCAACUUCCAGCUGUUUUGAACCAUUAAUGAAUACACACCAUACUCAGAACUACACCUUUAGCAGAUCUAUCUAAAAUGAGGAUUCUCACAACCGAGUCAUUUUAGCGCAAGUGUGUGACUCCUGAAGGAACUGGAGCUUUAGAGAUGGUUGAGACCACAGAGAAAACCAAAGAAUCAGUGCAUGAAGGCACCACCAUCUUUAGCAAAGGCUGCCCUGGAAGGGCUGUUUCUGCCAUACCUGGGGG